GAUGGGCGUCAUGCUUCAAGUAAAAUUGCCGCCUUUGAUUUUGAUGGUUGUCUUGCAAAUACAAAUGUGAGAAGAGUUGGUGCAGAUGCUUGGUCUCUGAUGCAUCCUUCAAUCCCAGAGAAGCUGCAGAGCUUGUACAAUGAAGGCUAUAAGCUGGUAAUUUUUACCAAUGAAUCCAACAUUGAGCGGUGGAAAAAAAGUA
rnacentral:misc_RNA from 1 species